AGUGAACGCUGGCGGUAGGCCUAACACAUGCAAGUCGAACGGCAGCACAGUAAGAGCUUGCUCUUACGGGUGGCGAGUGGCGGACGGGUGAGGAAUACAUCGGAAUCUACUUUUUCGUGGGGGAUAACGUAGGGAAACUUACGCUAAUACCGCAUACGACCUACGGGUGAAAGCAGGGGAUCUUCGGACCUUGCGCGAUUGAAUGAGCCGAUGUCGGAUUAGCUAGUUGGCGGGGUAAAGGCCCACCAAGGCGACGAUCCGUAGCUGGUCUGAGAGGAUGAUCGCCCCCACUGGACCUGGGCACCGGCCCCGCCCCCACGGGGGGGCAGCAGGGGGGAAUUUUGGACAACGGGCGCAACCCUGAUCCCGCCAUCCCGGGUGGGUGAAGAAGGCCUUCGGGUUUUAAAGCCCUUUUUUUGGGAAAGAAAAGCAGCAGGUUAAUCCCCCGCUUUUCUGACGGUACCCAAAGAAUAAGCCCCGGCUAACUUCGU
rnacentral:rRNA from 1 species